GCCUUCGUGGUGUAAAGGUAGCACGCUGGACCGAUAUUCCAGAGGUCCGUGGUUCGAUUCCCGGGGAAGGCG
rnacentral:tRNA from 1 species